GCGCCCAUAGCUCAGUUGGUUAGAGCAGUGGACUCAUAAUCCAUUGGUCGUAGGUUCAAGUCCUACUGGGCGCA
rnacentral:tRNA from 3 species